CUACGGGUUGCUGCAGUGGGGAAUAUUGCACAAUGGAGGAAACUCUGAUGCAGCAACGCCGCGUGGAGGAUGACACUUUUCGGAGCGUAAACUCCUUUUAUAUAGGAAGAAGAUGACGGUACUAUAUGAAUAAGCGCCGGCUAACUCCGUGCCAGCAGCCGCGGUAAUACGGAGGGCGCAAGCGUUACUCGGAAUCACUGGGCGUAAAGAGCGUGUAGGCGGAUUAAAAAGUCAGAAGUGAAAUCCUAUAGCUUAACUAUAGAACUGCUUCUGAAACUCUUAAUCUAGAAUAUGGGAGAGGUAGAUGGAAUUUCUGGUGUAGGGGUAAAAUCCGUAGGGAUCAGAAGGAAUACCGAUUGCGAAGGCGAUCUACUAGAACAUUAUUGACGCUGAGACGCGAAAGCGUGGGGAGCAAACAGGAUUAGAUACCCCUGUAGUC
rnacentral:rRNA from 1 species